rnacentral:lncRNA from 1 species
UUUAUAUAAAAUAAGAGAAUUGUAUAGGAUUGCUGUUGAUAAAAUUAAAUAUUACAAGCAUAUAUAAAUAAAUUAAUAAAUAUCUAUAGCGAGAAGAAAAUUGGGGUGCUGUAGUUCCGCAGUGCCUAUGCAAAAUUUGAUGGUCCAUGUACGAGCUGUCUCUGAUAAUUUGUAAAAUAAAACCUAAUAAAAAAUAUCUAACAAGUAAAAAAAUUAAAUAUAACUCUGUGCUAAGAAAUUAGGAUAUUUGCUAUUUGGCUGAAGCAGGGCCGGCGCAAGGCAGGUUCAGCACACUCGCCGAACUCGGCCGCGUUUUGAGAGGCCCCUCGGUCUACGAAAAUUACCCAAUUAAAAAACAUCGAUUUUGAUUAAUUUUUUAAAGAAUGAUG